ensembl:lncRNA
AUCGACUGCAGACGGACGGGGUUCCGCUGAAAGACAAAACAGGGCUUGAGUCACAGCAACAACACAUCAAGAACUAAAAUAACCAAAUGUGCCAUGCCGUCAUUAGGAAGGGAGAAGCCUUUCGUAAAUCUUUAUCAGAAUCGUUGGUGACUGUCUGACUAUCCCUGAACCAACGAGCCCCUGAGAGGCCCCUGUGGAGGUCUGAGGGGGGGCCCCUGUGGAGGUCUGAGGGGUCCCACCUGGGCCCCGGGCUCCUGGGAGGAGGGCGUCUGGAUGUUGGGGCGAGAGGGCAGCUGGUGCGGCGGUCUCCUUGGCGACUGGGGCAUGCGUGCGGUCGGGAUGGGGGGCUCUGUGGAGAAGACCUCCAUUGUGCUGCUCUCAACUGUCGGGGGUAGAGAAGAGAAAAGGGGGCUGCUUUCUACUGUUGGGUAAGAGACACCGGGAUCUCCUUAUGCAACGCCGUGUUAACGAGCCUUCAGCGUCGGUGGCCAGUAAAGGCUCAGAGAUUUAAACAACAUCUGCACAGGGCAAUAACUUGACCAUACAACACUGGAAGAUUUACAUUGUUUAUUACACCUGACAUUAAAAGCAAAAAUGCAUAAAAACAAGCAGAGAAACUUUGUGUGGUGGCAUUGUAAAGUGAGUGAGACUAUGAGAGGUCUCAGACAACACAUCAGCGCUGUCCCCGUCAUGCGGUCGGAGGCUAAUGAGACGGCCGGACGCCUCCAGCCUCCGCAUUGCAGAGGCUAUGAGGCCGUCAAUCCUAUCUGGGGAGUCGGGUUAUGCCUGGAAACACUUGUGGAGGGCGUGUCUGAGAAAUCCAAUGUCCGGUCUAGAUGUGGAGGAUAUGCGUCGCUCUAGUUCAUUAGCGUCUGCCUGUGGAAAUGCCUUUGAGUUAUGUGUCUGUGUGUGUGUCUCUCUGUGUCUGUCUCUCUGUGUGUCUGGGUGUGUGUCUGUCUCUCUGUGUGUGUGUGCGGUGGUGCGUGAGGGCUCUAGGACAGGGCUUCCUGGACCUUACAGCUGGGUGUGUCCGCCGGCCUCUGCUCUGACGGCCCCAGGCUCUCCUCCGUCUCCGUGCCGGGGUCCGUCACGUCUGCUCCCUGAAAGGCACGGCGUUCUACAUCAGACUAGAGGGGGCGGCGGGGGGCGAUGAGAGCAUUAAGGUUCCCACACAGACACACCCUCCGCCAACAGCCUCUGAACCCCAGUGACUCACUUUGGCACAGAAAACACAAAGUCGAAAGGGGAAGACAUACGGUAAGAGCUUCACACACUGAGGGCGGCGUGGAACCCCAGCAAUAGAAGCUACACAACUAGUGACCUCUUAAUCAUCGACAAGAUUCUUAGCAAUGAAUAAAUAGGAACACAUUUCCUAGGUUUAGCAAGAUUCAGAUUUAAAAUGUGAAAGGCCACAAACAAGAGCUGUUGACUGACGGUGGACGGUACACAAACCCUCUGUUGCAUAAUAAUAAUAACCAUUUGUUCUAAACUUCAACCGCUUAAACAAAUGUUUUUAAUGGGUCAAUAAAAGCUUGACCUCAGCACGCCAACAGGGUGUUGAGCGCAGCCUGCCCCCCAAAUGACUCACCGCACCGCCCACCAGCGUACUACGAGAACACACCAGCCAAAGGUUCAACCAUUAAAGUCAACAGCCAGCGCAUGGCACAAGCCCUCCAUUAUACCAGACGCUAGGCGGAGGGGGGGGGGGAGGCAGAGAGAGGGAGGGGGGGAGACAGACGGUAAGAGAGGGAGGGAGGGAGACCGAUACAGGGAGUCGGAGAGAAACUGGAAGAGUGACAGCAUGGAAAUACUGAGCAUGAAAGGGUGUGCAAGUCUGGAAGGGAAGGGGGAUGAGGAGGGUGAGCCUCCAGGAAUGGGUGGAAGGGUGUUGCCGUGUGUAAGGAGAGGUCAAACCUCGGGGUCGUCUCCCUCAUAGCCGUCGUUGGCGUCUCCGCUGCCUUCGUUGCUGUCCUCGCCCUCCUCCCCCAUACCGCCAUCUUCCUCCUCUUCCUCGUCCUCCUCCUCCUCCUCAUCAUCUUCCUCUUCUUCGUCAUAGUCCUACUCCGUUUCUAUGACGAUGACGUCGUGCUGGGGCUGGUCGGGGGUCUCGCUCGUCUCCGGCUCCCCCGGUACGGCCUG